rnacentral:rRNA from 1 species
UGGCGGACGGGGGAGUAACGCGUGGGUAACCUGCCUCAUACAGGGGGAUAACAGUUAGAAAUGGCUGCUAAUACCGCAUAAGACCACAGCACCGCAUGGUGCAGGGGUAAAAACUCCGGUGGUAUGAGAUGGACCCGCGUCUGAUUAGCUGGUUGGUGGGUAACGGCUACCAAGGCGACGAUCAGUAGCCGACCUGAGAGGGUGACCGGCCACAUUGGGACUGAGACACGGCCCAA